UGCGUAGGUGGCGCGCUAAGUCAGGUGUGAAAUUUCGGAGCUUAACUCCGAAACUGCAUUUGAUACUGGCAUGCUUGAGGACUGGAGAGGAGACUGGAAUUCACGGUGUAGCAGUGAAAUGCGUAGAUAUCGUGAGGAAGACCAGUGGCGAAGGCGGGUCUCUGGACAGUUCCUGACACUGAGGCACGAAGGCCAGGGGAGCAAACG
rnacentral:rRNA from 1 species